rnacentral:lncRNA from 1 species
GUCCAGGUUGGUCUUGAACUCCUGGCCUCAAGUGAUCCUUCUGCCUUGGCCUUCCAAAAUGUUGGGAUUACAGGUUUGAGCCACUAUGGCCGGCCUCCAGCUUUCUUUUGAAUCGUGUCAAAACCGAAGUGUGACUUACCAUUGAUGAGUUUGGGAGAGAAACCAGGAAUAUAUAGUUCAGCCCCUUCGCUCUUUGGAGCUGGCUACCUGUAGAAAGCACCCGUUCUGAUCUGCCCCUGCAAGCUGUUUAAAGAGUCAGGCCCCACCUGGGCAAGACUGUAGUGUUCCAUGCUGCUUAUACUCAGGUGAGCCUGCCUAUUUCUUGUUUUGUAAUUCAAAACUCUAUUG